rnacentral:rRNA from 1 species
GAUGAACGCUGACAGAAUGCUUAACACAUGCAAGUCGAUGGGGAAGUGGUGCUUGCACCAUGGUAACCAUGGCGGACGGGUGAGUAACGCGUAAGGAACUUACCUGCGGGACCGGGAUAACAGCAGGAAACUGCUGACAAGACCGGAUAAGGUCAUUAAGCUGCAUAGCUUAGUGAUGAAAGGAGACGCCUGCGGAGAGCCUUGCGUCCUAUUAGCUAGUUGGAGGGGUAACGGCCCACCAAGGCGAAGAUAGGUAGCCGGCCUGAGAGGGUGGACGGCCACAAGGGGACUGAGAUACGGCCCUUACUCCUACGGGAGGCAGCAGUGGGGAAUAUUGGACAGUGGGGGCAACCCUGAUCCAGCAAUUCUGUGUGCACGAAGACGGUUUUCGGAUUGUAAAGUGCUUUCAGCAGGGAAGAAGGAAGUGACGGUACCUGCAGAAGAAGCGACGGCUAAAUACGUG